CUUUGCUCUGGCUGAUAACUGACAUUUCCUCAGGCUUUGACUCUGCAUUCCACCUAGCCGCGGCAGGAACAACCACGCCUUGCCAGUGUGCCAGCCCCAGAAGGAAAAGCAAAAUGAAAUGGAUGCAAGUUGCAGAGGUAGAUUUUGGCUCAAAGUAAGGAAAAACUUCUAACAACUGGAGAGCUAUCCAAAGGUGGAAUGAAUUACCCAGGAAGUAGUGAGUUUCACAACACUGGAAGUUUUCCAGUACCAGCUGAACGGUGGACGACCUAUGGGAGAUGUUAUAGAUUCCUGCUCAGGAGUGGCAGCAAUGGGGAGAUGAAGUACCUGGCCCCAGACUAGAAAGCAUUGGCAGUGCUGGAGCAACAAUCAAAAAGACAGACUGAAAAGGAGACACUGAAAGGAAGUCUGAGCCAUGACCAAAACGAGAGAUGGAGGGGAGGCGUCGGUGCUGCAAGCAUCUCAGAAGGUUCAGAUCGACUGGUGGUGCUCACUUCUUCCAAGAUUCUCUGUGCCUCUCUAGAAACAGACACUGUAACACACUCUGCUUGAUUUCUUUAUAUUAUAAUUUUUUUGUUAAAUAUUUCCUAAUUACAUGUAAACAAAAUUUAACAUUCUUUUUUUAAA